rnacentral:rRNA from 1 species
AAUCUUGCAUAUCAAAAAAGCGGAGGAAAAGAAACCAACAGGGAUUGCCUUAGUAACGGCGAGUGAAGCGGCAAAAGCUCAAAUUUGAAAUCGGCCUCCAGGUCGAGUUGUAAUUUGUAGAUUGUAUCUUGAGAGCGGAUUAAAGUCUGUUGGAACACAGCGCCUUAGAGGGUGACAGCCCCGUAAAAUCUAUUCUCAUUGUAAGAUACUUUCGAAGAGUCGAGUUGUUUGGGAAUGCAGCUCUAAGUGGGAGGUAAAUUCCUUCUAAAGCUAAAUAUUGACGAGAGACCGAUAGCGAACAAGUACUGUGAAGGAAAGAUGAAAAGCACUUUGAAAAGAGAGUGAAAAAGUACGUGAAAUUGUUAAAAGGGAAGGGUAUUGAAUCAGACUUGGUGCUGUUGUUCAACUGUGUUUCGGCAUAGUGUACUCAGCAGUACUAGGCCAAGGUGGGGUGUUUGGGAGUGAAAAAGAAGUAGGAACGUAACUCUUCGGAGUGUUAUAGCCUACUUUCAUAGCUCCUCAGGCGCCUCAGGACUGCGCUCGGCAAGACCUGCAAAACCGAGGUU